GAAGAAGCGAGAAAAAAAAAUUGCGGACAAUGUGUGGAAUACUUGCAAUUUUCGGUUGCACUGAUAAUUCUCAUGCCAAGCGUUCAAGAGUAAUCGAACUAUCAAGAAGGUUGCGCCAUAGAGGACCUGACUGGAGUGGACUGCAUAGCCAUGAGGACUGUUACCUUGCUCAUCAACGAUUGGCAAUAGUAGACCCAACUUCAGGAGAUCAACCGUUGUAUAAUGAGGACAAGACCAUUGUUGUUGCGGUAAAUGGAGAGAUCUACAACCAUAAGGAAUUACGGGAGAAACUGAAGUCCCAUCAGUUUCGAACUGAAAGUGAUUGUGAAGUUAUUGCCCAUCUUUAUGAAGAAUAUGGAGAAAACUUCGUUGACAUGUUGGAUGGGAUGUUCUCUUUUGUUCUUCUUGAUACCCGGGAUAAAAGUUUCAUCGCUGCUCGGGAUGCCAUUGGCAUUACACCCCUUUAUAUGGGGUGGGGUCUUGAUGGAUCCAUAUGGUUUUCCUCGGAGAUGAAAGCCUUAAGUGAUGAUUGUGAACGAUUUGUUAGCUUCCUUCCCGGUCAUAUUUAUUCAAGCAAAAAUGGAGGACUUAGAAGAUGGUACAACCCACCAUGGUUUUCGGAAACCAUUCCUUCUACUCCAUAUGAUCCCCUUGUCUUACGGAAGGCUUUUGAGAAGGCUGUAGUUAAGAGACUCAUGACGGAUGUACCAUUUGGUGUGCUUCUCUCAGGCGGACUGGAUUCUUCACUUGUUGCUGCAGUGGCUAGCCGCUAUUUGGCUGAUACAGAUGCCGGUCGACAAUGGGGAUCCCAGUUGCAUACGUUUUGCGUAGGCUUGAAGGGUUCUCCUGAUCUGAA
rnacentral:misc_RNA from 1 species